GUUUUCGGGAUAGGGCUACAAUUCCAUAGGAUCUCCGUAAUGGUGCAAAAUAAUUUUAUGAAUAACCGAUAAUAAACUCUGUGUAUUAGUCCCAAAUGUUGUUUAUACCAAAAGGAGUACCAACUUUGUGCUCGGGCAUGUCUAAUAAAGGUGUUUUUCAUUAAAUAUAAUGUACAGCAUGCAAAAUUCUUCGUCUGCUCCGCCAUGCUUGUUAUCGCGAGAUCUCGUAGGUGGAUCUAAUGAAAAGCCUAAACAUUGACAAUCAGCGCGAAAAUGUAGUUAUUCGAGCCACUUCGACAAAGGAAGGAAAAUCAUAUUGUUGCAGAAAGAAUUUACACUCUGCUGUUCGGUUUUUAACUUGAUAUUAAAUUCAAACCUUCUCAAUACCGACGAAAUAGCUUUCGCCUCCAUACUUGUCCAUUGAUGUAAAUACCACCUUAUAUGGCAUAUGCAAAUGACUUGACAACCGGAAGUUGAAACUUCAGUACAUCAAACAUGGCGCACAAAUAUGAAUCGAGAAACUGGGAUUUAUCGAAAUUGUUGAAAACGGUAGAAUAGAGCCUCACAAAUCUAAAGUUGUAGGUUGUAAAUUUAUAUAUUGACUAAGAAACAUAGAAUAUCAUUUUAUUUACGUAAAGAAAGUCAGGAAAUGUUUAGAAUGAGCGCAAAUGUUGCGGGAGUGAAUCACUCCCGCAUUUGCACCAUUACGGAGAUCCUAAGGAGUUGUAGCCCUCUCCCUAAAAAAAAAAAAAAAAAAAAAAAAAAAAUCAGAGAGGGCUACAUUAUUGCAGCUAAGGGGAGACUAGACUCAUCCAUCCCUGCAGACCUACAUAUGGAGCAUAUGGUCCAAAAGACCAAAUCUAUGCUUAAAAGCCUGGGCUCCAACAAAACACCCGAAAUCAUCAUGAAAAGGUCAAAAGCAUUAGCUGGAAUGGAUGCCAUCUCUCAUCAAUAUGACACGGACACAAGUGUCAUUUUACGUUCUCAUCGACACAAAUUGAAAAGUGCCAAAGAUGAUGAAUUGAAAAUGAUGCAAGAUAUUUGUGAAGUUCAUCCAUUUAAACAUACACCUGGAAGAUCUUUUGAAUUUUUCAAAGGACUAACUAGUCCUCUUCUCUUUUCUGUUGAUGCUGAAAAAUACAAGGCUUGGGUGCAACAUCAUCAGAGCAUCCUGGACUAUGACUCUGGGAAGUAGGCUACUUAGUUGUGUUGAGUGGUACUGUACAACACGGCUGUUUUCUGGACAAGGAGUACCCAGAUACAUGUCAUCUUUCAAUAUGCGUUUUGCAAGGUCAUAACUGUAGGCACACCAUUUUAACUUGGAAUAUAUUAUUGUAAGAGGGAAAGAAUCUGCAUUCAUUAGAAGAUCAAGAAAAACCGGUUUGUAAAUGUAGUCAUAUGCAAACUCUACUUUGUUAUUGCCCCCAGUUGAUGGAGGGCGUUCUCGAAUAAUUAUCUUUAUGUUGCCAUUAAGAAUAGGUAAUGAUCUAAGAAAUACAGGCUUUCUCAUAGUAAGCUGUGAAGCAAUUGUUUUUUGAAGUUUUACAGAAGCAGUGGCUGUUAAUGCUAGGACAGAGAUGAGGUUUGAGUCUAUGGAUCUUGCGUUGCAAAUAUUUUUAAACAUGGGUCUAAAUUCCUCCCCCCACUGUGGAACCAGGUGGGCUUCGUCCACUACAAUAUAUGUUCGUCUGUGAAGUGUUGACAUCUUUUCUAGAAUACUUGGCUUAGUGAUAUCCUCUGGAUGUCCAACAACAUACAAAAUAGACUUCAACUUGGUUAAAUUGUCACUCUCGUCAUCAUUUACUAGAUCUGAUGCUCUUAUUGAUUUAGAACCCAGUUUUGCAAUUUCCUGCUCUAUGAUGACAUUCAAUGGACAUACUAAUACAACCAAACACUGUCUAUCAUAUAAUGAAAAGUCAACAAAAGGAAGAAUUUCAAAUAUUAAAGACUUUCCAUAGCCAGUGGGCAAUAUUGAUAUACAGUCAUUUUUUAGAGCACUUUUGAUUGUUAUAACUUGCUUUGGUUUCAGAAAGUUUAUUUCUGAACCACAAUGUAAAUUCAACAGCUGCAGUCCUCUUUUGAAUUUAAUAUUCUCCUCAAUGUUGCAAAUACCAGCCUAAAGAUAGAGAUGAAAAUGAAUUUUAACGACACCUUUGGCAGGGAUAGGAAAGUUGAAUGUAAAUCGGAUAAAGAUGAAUUUAACCAAGAUUCAAAAGUAAAGAAUGAUAAAAAAAAAAUCAAACUUGAAAGAUGUAGAGAACAAUAAAGAAAUAAAUCAUAUUUAUGAGAUAAAAAAUUUUUAAAAUAUUUCUGACUCAUACAAUAAACAGAAUGUACACUAAAUAAUUAUUUGUACCCAAAUGAUAGAGGCAACUAAACAGACUAAUACAUGUAAGUAUAGGUUGGCAAAAGACAAAAAUUAUGGAAGCAGCAAGUCUCUACGAAGAAGACAUUUUAGAUACAUUUGUACAUGCAUUAUAAUAUUAGACAUGCUGGAUAGUACAGGUAUUAGAUCAUGGUGACCUACCAAAUUAGCACUACUUUUGACUUACUAAACAUCAGUAGUGGUGGGAUUUGAACCCACAAGUCUCCAUGAAAUAGAAAUAUUAGAUACAUGCAUUAGAGUAGAUAUGCUGGAUAGUACAGGUAUUAGAUCAAUCAUCAUGGUAGAAGAAUUGUAAAAUGGACAACAUGCAAAUGAAUGAAUGUAUUAACUGUACAUAUCAAAAGAUAGCUUGGGUAAAAAGAUGACCAUGCAUGCAAGGAUAGUACAGGUAUUAGAUCAUGGUGACCUACCAAAUUAGCACCACUUUUGACUUACUUUAAACAUCAGUAGUGGUGGGAUUUGAACCCACAAGUCUCCAUGAAAUAGAAAUAUUAGAUACAUGCAUUAUAGUUGACAUACUGGGUAGGGUGUUGGUAACAUGCAAUUAUGAGAUUAACAGGGGGUUGGAAAUAAUUUUAACCUCCCCCAUGCAGGCUAUACACACCAACAUUGAGCAUGCAAACAAUACAGAAAUGGAUGCAAUAUUGGGAGGGUUCGGGGAUAAACAAUGCAAAACUAAACCCUUUAACUGUAUUUGGUUGAGAUGACACUGCCUAGAAUAAGAUAUAGUUUAAGUAUAAACACUUUCCUCACGUAAAGUAUGUGCAACAGUGGGUCAAACCACGUGGAAUCGCGAUCGAAAACUUUGGUCGUUCUGUUACAUUAAAUGGGGAGCGACAUAUGCAAAAUUGCAUACCAAUACACAGAUCAGUCAUAUAUACACGGGAUGCGAUAAUAAAAUUUCGAUGUCGGUACAAGACAAUGUAAAUAUUGGAAGUCAAUUUUGACUACCUCCACGUGUUCAAAAUGUAAACAAUUUUCAGUCUGGUGAUUUCGAAGCUAUUUUCGUCUAAAUAAGUAAAAAGAAACGGGAAAUAAAAAGAAAAGAACUUAAGUCAACAAAACGAAAUAGUGAAAUAAGUUGUUCUAAAGUAAAAUGAGAGGGUUUAUGUAUUCUUUCUAGAGAUGAAAACUUACUUUGUCCGCCAUUUUAGAAUUGCGCAAUGUCAUACACCAAAUCAACCGGUGCCUGACCUCAAUGUAGAGAGUGCGCGAACGGAAUUGUGGGAAGGGGGACCAGACUAGUUAAUCUCUACCCAAAGUUAUCGUUCCUUAACUAAUGUAAGGAACGAUAACUCUGAGUAGCGAUAAAAGCAAAAAAAAAUUGAAAAUAAGAUACUCGUUGGAAAACUGAUUUAAAUCCUCAACAUGCUUUUCUUUGAUUAAAGUAAAUCAAUAACGUUAGUAUUUCAUUUGAAGGCAAAUCUAUCCUCAUGUGGCGUCAUGGAUUUUUUAAACUUUUUUUUUCAUUUUACCAAAAUCUGUAAUUUAUCAAAAAGGUUUGCACCCCCAGUUUGUAAAAGUGAUUUUUAUUUCUACAUUGAAAGAGAAUUAGAACUGAUGUCAUAAUGUUUGUAACUAAGCUAUGUACAGUGUUUUAAACAUGACUUUUUUGCACGUAAAAUUUACUCAAGAUUUAUUCCUUCAAAAUUGAUUUGUCUGUCGGUGUCAACACAACAUAAGCAACAGAAAUCAAUCAUUCCAUAAAAUAGAUACAUAAUCAUGUCUAUUAACAAUACAGAUUAAAAAAAAUAGUAUGAGUAAUGGAAAUAAAUAAUGACCUUUUUGCACUUGAUAUACAGACCAUUCCUCAGUUUAAAGUAAUUCCACCCUCCUGUGAUGUCAUCAGAUUGUGCAAAAUCAAUGAUUUAUUUAGAUUUAUGCCUGAUUGGAACAAUAAUUUUGUUGGAGUCUUUUCCGAUAUUUAUUGUAAAAAAUCCUGUUAAAAAUAAACUAUUUCAAAAGCCUAAGUUAUAGAUGAAUAACCAUUGAUAUGUUUUAAAAUAUUGAAUCCAAGGGCAAUAACUCUGUUUUAAGUCUAUUAUGCGAUAUAUUUCCUUUAUUUUUACAAACAUUUUGUAUAUUUUUGUGAAGAAACAGUUACAUGAAAUUGUUCUGAAUGCUAUUAUAUUGUCAUAACCAGUUUUUAUGAAAGAAUGAUAACGCUGUUUAGGGAAAAUUGCUAUUUUCUGACGGUGAUAGAUGAUUCUUUUUAUGUAUGUCUCGCAUCUACUAUGAGGACCUAUUAUUAUUUUAUUUGAUAAUACGUUAGUUUUAACUAUAAUAAAUGGAAAUAAAUACACUUUUUUAAACUUGUAUAAGAUAAAACUGUGAGUAUGGAGUUACCUUAAAAGGACAUUAUUAUUUAGAAGUAAUUUCAUAUAAUUUUCAAAUUCUUGUCUUAAAAUUCAAAAUGCAAAUAAAACAUUGUGGGUUAUAAAUCAAAUUUUUCAAUUAUUGGCCAAAAUACUGAAUUUUUAUACAAAAUUUUGAGUAAAUUAAUUCAGACUUUUUUUCUUUUUUUUAAAGAAUCGGUGUUCUGCUUGGGAAAAUAUAUCAACCAGAUUAAUAAAUUAAACAUUUGAACUAGUUCCAAAUCUCAACUACUUGUAUCCUAAAUUAUAAAACUCAAAUACACGAGAAUAUAAGACAAUUUGGAUGAAACAAAUACUGCAAAAUCAUACAGAUUUAGAACUUUUUUUAUCAAUCCUUCUGUUUACAAAAUAUAGACCCUGCCAAACCCUUUCAAAAUUUGAAUAGACACACGCACAAAAUCAACUGGAUAGGGUUCAGUAAUAGAUGUGCAAUGUAUGUUUGCACCAAUGGGAUCAAUAUUGGACCACUAAAUAUUUAGUUGUAGCAUCCUACGCAGUUGUGCCCAGAAGCUCAGGAACUAACUUCCUUAAACAUUGUGUAAGGUAGAAAUAUAUCUUGUGUAGCAAUUUUAUUCACUGGAUCCAAUUAAUUUUUUUAGUAAACUGUUUGAUAUGUGGUAUACACACUCGUCAAGUUUUCGACUGCAGUAUUAAUAUUUAAUGUCAGAGGAUUAUCCAUUUUAUAUAACCUAUCAAUUGUUGAUGUGCGACGUUGUUAGACCGUUCUUUACACAUUGAUUUUGACUACGGAUUACUCCGUUUACUUGAUCUAUAUAUAAGGCUCAUGGCGGGUGUGACCGGUCAAAAGGGGCUGCUUGUAAACUCGCCUAGGCACCUGAACCCACCUUUGAUGUGCCCUGGGCACCUGAUACCACCUCUGGUGUGUCCGGGGCAUCUAAUCCCAUCUCUGAUGUGUCCGGGGCACCAGAUCCCACCUCUGAUGUAUCAGGGGUUCGAGUAUGCCCAAUAAAUCAAAUCUAAUUAAUGUAAAUCUAAUUAAAAUUAGAUCCUUUGAUCCGCUCAUCUACUAUCACUAUGUGUAGCGAUAGUAGAUGAGCGGAUCAAAGGGUCUAAUUUUAAUUAGAUUGAAUUACUGUGCACAUUUUAUUGAGUAUAAAAGCGGGAAAUGAAUGUCUUUCUAAUAUAAGAAGGAAAAAUCUAGUUUCAUAUAGAUAUCAAAUAAUUUAUACCGAGUUCUAAAUGAAAUUAUGCGAGCAAUAAUUCUUUUUUUUUCAGAGUGCUCAGUCGAUAAAAUUGUGUGCAUUACAAGUGAAAAUAAAUUAGGGCUAUCGUAUGAUAACUAGUGGAUUACUCCCUCCAAAGCAGCCAGCAGCCACUCCAUGCGAUCGAUCCCUGAAUGCUAUUUGUAUUCAAAAUACUUUCACGGUCAUCCAGAUCGAUAUUUUACUCUGCCGCACGCAUUCUUGUAAUUAAAAUAUAUAGUUUCACCUAUCGGUUACAUUUAUAUGUAUAAAUAUUAUGCAAAGUUAGAAUGUUUCGCAGGCUUGUAAGAUCUGCUUCAGGACAAACGAAGGUACGAUGUUUCCUACAUUAAUUGAUACAAAAAACUUUAUUGAAAAUAAAAAAAAUCUGUAUACCCCCCCCCCCCCGCCAGAUAAAAAUAAUAAUCCGGGAUGUAUAUAACUUUAUCUAUCCAGAGAGAAAGAGAACGGGGGGGGGGGGGGGG